rnacentral:rRNA from 1 species
GAUGAACGCUGGCGGCGUGCCUAAUACAUGCAAGUCGAGCGAACAGACGAGGAGCUUGCUCCUCUGACGUUAGCGGCGGACGGGUGAGUAACACGUGGAUAACCUACCUAUAAGACUGGGAUAACUUCGGGAAACCGGAGCUAAUACCGGAUAAUAUAUUGAACCGCAUGGUUCAAUAGUGAAAGACGGUUUUGCUGUCACUUAUAGAUGGAUCCGCGCCGCAUUAGCUAGUUGGUAAGGUAACGGCUUACCAAGGCGACGAUGCGUAGCCGACCUGAGAGGGUGAUCGGCCACACUGGAACUGAGACACGGUCCAGACUCCUACGGGAGGCAGCAGUAGGGAAUCUUCCGCAAUGGGCGAAAGCUUGACGGAGCAACGCCGCGUGAGUGAUGAAGUUCUUCGGAUCGUAAAACUCUGUUAUUAGGGAAGAACAAAUGUGUAAGUAACUAUGCACGUCUUGACGGUACCUAAUCAGAAAGCCACGGCUAACUACGUG